CUCUCAAACCCUCCCCAACUCCCAUUGAAGAAUCGAUUUCUCUUCUACGUUCCCGGGGCCAAAAUCAUCGUCCUCAACCUCAAUUUUCCUCAGGUUAGCUGUUUCUCUUCUUCGAGCUUAAUGGGUCACAGCAAGACUCUGUUUUUAUGUUCUUAAUCCUCGCAAGAUUGGGGCUUUUCAUGUGAUUUGUGAAGCCAGCUAUGAUAUAUCAUCUAUAAAGCAUGAAUUGUGCAAUUACGAAUUUAAACAAGCUUCUCCUUCAUAUCUGUCAUCUAUACAUUUUACCUUCAAAAUCAUCAUCAUAAUGGUAAUAAACAAUGACACUUUAUCAUGCUUGAGAUAUUCAUAACUGACUAAGAAGAGGGUCGUUUCAGGAAGUUGUCGACCUUUGAAUUGGUUGCAGCAGAGAGAAACUUCAUGCAAACAGGAGGAUUAACUCCGGCUAUAGCGAGCACCGAGCUUGGCAAAGACCAAAUCCCGUCUCCGCAUAUCAAACCAGAAGCCACCGCAGUCCCGAAAGCUU
rnacentral:lncRNA from 1 species